rnacentral:rRNA from 1 species
UACGAAGGUCCCGAGCGUUGUUCGGAAUCACUGGGCGUAAAGGGAGCGUAGGCGGCUCGGUAAGUCAGAUGUGAAAUCCCGGGGCUCAACCCCGGAACUGCAUCCGAUACUGCCGUGCUAGAGGACUGGAGAGGUAGCUGGAAUUCUUGGUGUAGCAGUGAAAUGCGUGGAGAUCAAGAGGAACACUCGUGGCGAAAGCGAGCUACUGGACAAUAUCUGACGCUGAGGCUCGAAGGCCAGGGUAGCGAAAGGG